rnacentral:rRNA from 1 species
UACGUAGGUGGCGAGCGUUGUCCGGAUUUACUGGGCGUAAAGGGAGCGUAGGCGGAUUUUUAAGUGAGAUGUGAAAUACUCGGGCUCAACUUGAGUGCUGCAUUUUAAACUGGAAGUCUAGAGUGCAGGAGAGGAGAAUGGAAUUCCUAGUGUAGCGGUGAAAUGCGUAGAGAUUAGGAAGAACACCAGUGGCGAAGGCGAUUCUCUGGACUGUAACUGACGCUGAGGCUCGAAAGCGUGGGGAGCAAACAGG